GAUGAACGCUGGCGGCGUGCCUAAUACAUGCAAGUCGAGCGAACAGACGAUGAGCUUGCUCCUUUCACGUUAGCGGCGGACGGGUGUGUCACACGUGUAUCACCUACCUAUAUUACUGGGAUAUCUUCGGGAAUCCGGCGCUAAUACCGUAUAAUCUCUUGAACCGCAUUGUUCAAUAGUGAAAGACGGCUUUGCUGGCACUUAUAGCUGCUUCCGCGCCGCAUUAGCUAGUUGUUAAGGUAACGGCUUACCACGGCAACGAUGCGUAGCCGACGUGAGAGGGUGGUAGCCCACACGGGAGCUGGAACAGGGUCAAGAGUCCUGCGAGAGGCAGCAGUAGGGAAUCGGACGCAGUGGGCGAGAGCCUGGCGGAACGACGGCGAGUGAGUGAUGGAGGUCUUGGGAGCGGAAAACUGUGUUAUGGGGGAAGAACAGAUGUGUAAGUAAAUAUGCACGGAGUGACGGUACCGAGUAAGAAAGCAACGGCUAACUACGUG
rnacentral:rRNA from 1 species